AGUGAACGCUGGCGGCAGGCCUAACACAUGCAAGUCGAACGGCAGCACAGGGGGGCUUGCUCCCUGGGUGGCGAGUGGCGGACGGGUGAGGAAUACGUCGGAAUCUGCCCAGUCGUGGGGGAUAACUUAGGGAAACUUAAGCUAAUACCGCAUACGACCUUCGGGUGAAAGCGGAGGACCUUCGGGCUUCGCGCGAUUGGAUGAGCCGACGUCGGAUUAGCUAGUUGGUGGGGUAAAGGCCUACCAAGGCGACGAUCCGUAGCUGGUCUGAGAGGAUGAUCAGCCACACUGGAACUGAGACACGGUCCAGACUCCUACGGGAGGCAGCAGUGGGGAAUAUUGGACAAUGGGCGCAAGCCUGAUCCAGCCAUGCCGCGUGAGUGAAGAAGGCCCUCGGGUUGUAAAGCUCUUUUGUCCGGAAAGAAAAGCUUUCGGUUAAUACCCGGAAGUCAUGACGGUACCGGAAGAAUAAGCACCGGCUAACUUCGUGCCAGCAGCCGCGGUAAUACGAAGGGUGCAAGCGUUACUCGGAAUUACUGGGCGUAAAGCGUGCGUAGGUGGUUCGUUAAGUCUGAUGUGAAAGCCCUGGGCUCAACCUGGGAAUUGCAUUGGAUACUGGCGGGCUAGAGUACGGUAGAGGGUGGCGGAAUUCCCGGUGUAGCAGUGAAAUGCGUAGAGAUCGGGAGGAACAUCUGUGGCGAAGGCGGCCACCUGGACCAGUACUGACACUGAGGCACGAAAAGCGUGGGGGAGCAAACAGGAUUAGAUACCCUGGUAG
rnacentral:rRNA from 1 species